rnacentral:rRNA from 1 species
GAUGAACGCUAGCGGGAGGCCUAACACAUGCAAGCCGAGCGGUAUUGUUUCUUCGGAAAUGAGAGAGCGGCGUACGGGUGCGUAACACGUGUGCAACCUGCCUUUAUCUGGGGGAUAGCCUUUCGAAAGGAAGAUUAAUACUCCAUAAUAUAUUGAACGGCAUCGUUUAAUAUUGAAAGCUCCGGCGGAUAGAGAUGGGCACGCGCAAGAUUAGCUAGUUGGUGAGGUAACGGCUCACCAAGGCGAUGAUCUUUAGGGGGCCUGAGAGUGUGAUCCCCCACACGGGUACUGAGACACGUACCAGACUGCUACGGGAGGCAGCAGUGAGGAAGAUAGGUCAAUGGGUGCAAGCCUGAACCAGCCAUCCCGCGUGAAGGACGACUGCCCUAUGGGUUGUAAACUUCUUUUGUAUAGGGAUAAACCUACCCUCGGGAGGGUAGCUGAAGGUACUAGACGAAUAAGCACCGGCUAACUCCGUG